rnacentral:rRNA from 1 species
UACGUAGGUGGCAAGCGUUGUCCGGAAUUACUAGGGUGUAAAGGCGCGUAGGCGGCCGAUCAAGUCAGAUGUGAAAGUCCUGGGCUUAACCUGGGGACUGCAUUUGAUACUGAUUUGGCUUGAAUUCGGGAGAGGAUAGCGGAAUUCCCAGUGUAGAGGUGAAAUUCGUAGAUAUUGGGAAGAACACCGGUGGCGAAGGCGGCUAUCUGGACCGACAUUGACGCUGAUGCGCGAAAAGCGUGGGGAGCAAACAGGG